rnacentral:rRNA from 1 species
UACGGGGGGGGCAAGCGUUGUUCGGAAUUACUGGGCGUAAAGGGCUCGUAGGCGGCCAUCUAAGUCGGGUGUGAAAUCUCGGAGCUUAACUCCGAAACUGCAUUCGAUACUGCCGUGCUUGAGGACUGGAGAGGAGACUGGAAUUUACGGUGUAGCGGUGAAAUGCGUAGAUAUCGUAAGGAAGACCAGUGGCGAAGGCGGGUCUCUGGACAGUUCCUGACGCUGAGGCACGAAGGUCAGGGGAGCAAACGGG